GCUUAACUCCGGUUCUGCAGUGGAUACGGGCAUGCUAGAGGUAGGUAGGGGAGACUGGAAUUCCUGGUGUAGCGGUGAAAUGCGCAGAUAUCAGGAGGAACACCGGUGGCGAAGGCGGGUCUCUGGGCCUUACCUGACGCUGAGGAGCGAAAGCAUGGGGAGCGAACAGGAUUAGAUACCCUGGUAGUCCAUGCCGUAAACGUUGGGCGCUAGGUGUGGGGACUUUCCACGGUUUCCGCGCCGUAGCUAACGCAUUAAGCGCCCCGCCUGGGGAGUACGGCCGCAAGGCUAAAACUCAAAGGAAUUGACGGGGGCCCGCACAAGCGGCGGAGCAUGUUGCUUAAUUCGACGCAACGCGAAGAACCUUACCAAGGUUUGACAUCACCCGUGGACUCGCAGAGAUGUGAGGUCAUUUAGUUGGCGGGUGACAGGUGGUGCA
rnacentral:rRNA from 1 species